CCUACGGGUGGCAGCAGUGAGGAAUAUUGGUCAAUGGGCGAGAGCCUGAACCAGCCAAGUCGCGUGAAGGAUGACGGCCCUAUGGGUUGUACACUUCUUUUGUCAGGGAGCAAUUGCGUCCACGUGUGGGCUUCGCGAGAGUACCUGAAAAAAAAGCAUCGGCUAACUCCGUGCCAGCAGCCGCGGUAAUACGGAGGAUGCGAGCGUUAGCCGGAUUUAUUGGGUUUAAAGGGUGCGUAGGCGGAAUAUCAAGUCAGCGGUAAAAAUUCGGGGCUCAACCCCGUCGUGCAGUUGAAACUGAUGGUGUUGAGUGGGCGAGAAGUAUGCGGAAUGCGUGGUGUAGCGGUGAAAUGCAUAGAUAUAACGCAGAACUCCGAUUGCGAAGGCAGCAUACCGGCGCCAAACUGACGCUGAAGCACGAAAGCGUGGGUAUCGAACAGGAUUAGAUACCCGGGUAGUC
rnacentral:rRNA from 1 species